UAGGUAUGUGAGCCGCUUUGUAUUCAGUUUUGGGGAACUGUAGUCGUACGGAUAUUACUGUUGUUGUCAUUAUGGACAAAGCUGGGCAAGGUAAUCGCACUAACCAGUGCAACCCGAACCAUGCGCCAUCUGGUCCAGGUCGUAAUGCUGGAUACCAUGGAGCAGGAGGCAGAGCCGAUCUGAACAAUCAUUCAAACCAACUGAAUCCUAACAACUCUCGCUACCAAGGAGGGAAGAAGUGAUUAAAACAUGACUGCCCAUUUAAGAUUUCAGUUUGUAACUUAAAUUUGAAUAAUUUGACACUGUCUCCAAUAAUUAACAUUUUCUUUACAUUUCUUCUGUUUAAAAAGUGUUGAACAUAAUGCAAACAAAAUUUUGUGAUGGCAGUUUGAAUUGAAAUAUGUAAUAAAGAAUUAAUUUUAAA